rnacentral:rRNA from 1 species
AACGAACGCUGGCGGCAGGCUUAACACAUGCAAGUCGAACGCCCCGCAAGGGGAGUGGCAGACGGGUGAGUAACAAGUGGGAACGUGCCCUAAGGAUUGGAAUAUUCCCGGGAAACUGGGAGCCAUACCAAAUGUGUCCGUAAGGAUAAAGAUUUAUCGACUUAGCAUCGGCCCGAGUCAGAUUAGGUAGUUGGUGGGGUAAUGGCCUACCAAGCCGACGAUCUGUAGCUGGUCUGAGAGGACGACCAGCCACACUGGGACUGAGAAACGGCCCAGACUCCUACGGGAGGCAGCAGUGGGGAAUCUUGGACAAUGGGCGGAAGCCUGAUCCAGCCAUGCCGCGUGGAUGAUGAAGGCCCUAGGGUUGUAAAAUCCUUUCGUUGGGGACGAUAAUGACGGUACCCAAAGAAGAAGCUCCGGCUAACUUCGUGCCAGCCGCCGCAGUAAGAC